rnacentral:rRNA from 1 species
AGAGUUUGAUCCUGGCUCAGGAUGAACGCUAGCGGCAGGCUUAACACAUGCAAGUCGAGGGGCAGCGAGGGUAGCAAUACCUGUCGGCGACCGGCGGAAGGGUGCGUAACGCGUGAGCAACAUUCCCGUAUCUGGGAGAUAACCGGUGGAAACGCCGACUAAUAUCCCAUAACAACAUUUGCGGCAUCAAGAGUGUUUGAAAGAUACGUCGGAUACGGAUUGGCUCGCGUGACAUUAGCUAGUUGGUGAGGUAACAGCCCACCAAGGCGAGGAUGCGUAGCCGAUCUGAGAGGAUGAACGGCCACACUGGAACUGAGACACGGUCCAGACUCCUACGGGAGGCAGCAGUAGGGAGUUUUCGGCAAUGGGGGCAACCCUGACCGAGCAACGCCGCGUGAAUGAUGAAGGUCUUCGGAUUGUAAAGUUCUGUUAUAAGGGAAAAAUGAUAGGGUGAGGAAAUGCUCUCUAUUUGAUGGUACCUUAUUAGAAAGCCACGGCUAACUACGUGCCAGCAGCCGCGGUAAUACGUAGGUGGCAAGCGUUAUCCGGAAUUAUUGGGCGUAAAGAGUGAGCAGGCGGCAUGGUAAGUUUGGAGUGAAAGCGUGGGGCUUAACCCCAUACAGCUUCGAAAACUGCCAGGCUAGAGUACGGGAGAGGUAAACGGAACUCCAUGUGUAGCGGUGAAAUGCGUAGAUAUAUGGAAGAACACCAGUGGCGAAGGCGGUUUACUAGCUCGAUACUGACGCUCAGUCACGAAAGCGUGGGGAGCAAAUAGGAUUAGAUACCCUAGUAGUCCACGCCGUAAACGAUGACAACUAAAUAUUGCAGUGAUGCAGUGUUGAAGCUAACGCAUUAAGUUGUCCGCCUGGGGAGUACGGUCGCAAGACUGAAACUUAAAGGAAUUGACGGGGACCCGCACAAGCAGUGGAGCAUGUGGUUUAAUUCGAUGCUACGCGAAGAACCUUACCAGGACUUGACAUGGAUUCAAAUGUUCUAGAGAUAGAAAGAUAGUUAUGGAUCACACAGGUGGUGCAUGGUUGUCGUCAGCUCGUGUCGUGAGAUGUUGGGUUAAGUCCCGCAACGAGCGCAACCCUUGUCCUUAGUUACCAUCAUUUAGUUGGGGACUCUAAGGAGACUGCCGAUGUAAAUCGGAGGAAGGUGGGGAUGACGUCAAAUCAUCAUGCCCUUUAUGUCCUGGGCGACACACGUGCUACAAUGGCCGGUACAAAGAGACGCGAAACCGCGAGGCGGAGCAAAUCUCACAAAGCCGGUCUCAGUUCAGAUUGAAGUCUGCAACUCGACUUCAUGAAGUCGGAAUUGCUAGUAAUCGCAGAUCAGCCAUGCUGCGGUGAAUACGUUCCCGGGUCUUGCACACACCGCCGGUCAA